rnacentral:tRNA from 1 species
GGGAUUGUGGCUCAGUGGUAGAGCGCUCACCUACCACGUGUGAGGCUUUGGGUAGAACCUCAGCGGUUCUA